CAAAUAAGCAAAAAAAUAAAGUCUCAAAUUGUCUAAAACUUUCUCACCCCGUCCACUUUUUCAUUUCUUUGUAUUAGUCUAGCGUCUUCGUCAAACCUCAAAAUCUUCCCAAAGACUUAUCAUUGAAUUAUGAAUCGAUAUUAACAUACAGCAAAGCGAGGUGGUGAAAUUAUCCAUUCUUGAAGCUGCUCGAUCUGGGGGUUAACCCACCUCAAAUUCCACUACUGACGAGGAAACUUCUUCAACCCAAAAGUGUUGUCAGGUUAGCUCGAGGUUGGAGAUUGUCGGAGGCAACAUCGCACUAUCAAGCUAUCACCUUUGGAGUAUUGACAUAUGUGUAUUAAGCACCUUCAAGUGAGUGGCAUUUAUAGGGACUUAGUUUUUAUGAUAGAUGUUGUUAUGAUUAGCCAAAUGUAUUGGCUUAUAUUGAUUAAUUGUAUAUAGCCAUGAGAUGUGGCUUAUAAUGAUUGUGGCUUGUAAGCCUAGUUAUUCAUGAUAAGUUCUACUGCUUGCGAUGUGAUGAUGUUUUUAUGCUUGUGGGACAUGCAUGAUUGGUGUUAAGACAUGUGUGCAUGAUAAAUGCUUGAUGACCAAUCAAAAUGGUUAUAGCUAUGAAGUAAUUGAAUGGCAUAGAAAUAAGACGAUGA